rnacentral:rRNA from 1 species
GACGAACGCUGGCGGCGUGCUUAACACAUGCAAGUCGAACGGAAAGGCCCUGCUUUUGUGGGGUGCUCGAGUGGCGAACGGGUGAGUAACACGUGAGUAACCUGCCCUUGACUUUGGGAUAACUUCAGGAAACUGGGGCUAAUACCGGAUAGGAGCUCCUGCUGCAUGGUGGGGGUUGGAAAGUUUCGGCGGUUGGGGAUGGACUCGCGGCUUAUCAGCUUGUGGGUGGGGUAGUGGCUUACCAAGGCUUUGACGGGUAGCCGGCCUGAGAGGGUGACCGGCCACAUUGGGACUGAGAUACGGCCCAGACUCCUACGGGAGGCAGCAGUGGGGAAUAUUGCACAAUGGGCGGAAGCCUGAUGCAGCAGCGCCGCGUGCGGGAUGACGGCCUUCGGGUUGUAAACCGCUUUCGCCUGUGACGAAGCGUGAGUGACGGUAAUGGGUAAAGAAGCACCGGCUAACUACGUG